rnacentral:rRNA from 1 species
GAUGAACGCUAGCGGCAGGCCUAAUACAUGCAAGUCGGACGGGAUUGGGGAGCUUGCUCCCCAUGAGAGUGGCGCACGGGUGCGUAACACGUAUGUAACCUACCCUUGUCAGGGGGAUAGCCUCUCGAAAGAGAGAUUAACACCGCAUAACAUUAUUGGAUGGCAUCAUUUAAUAAUCAAAUAUUUAUAGGACAAGGAUGGGCAUGCGGGACAUUAGCUAGUUGGUAGGGUAACGGCUUACCAAGGCUACGAUGUCUAGGGGAUCUGAGAGGAUGGCCCCCCACACUGGUACUUAAGCAAGGACCAGAGUCCUACGGCAGGAAGCCGUCAGGAAUCUGGAGCAACGGGUGUAAGCCUGAACCAGCCAUGCGGCGUGCAGGAAGACUGCCCUACCGGUUGUAAAGUGCUUUUGCGCCGGAAUAAACCUCUUUACGUGUAGAGAGCUGAAGGUAGCAAAUGGAUAAGCACCGGCUAACUCCGUGCCAGCCGCCGCAGUAA